rnacentral:misc_RNA from 1 species
GAUGAAGAACGCAGUGAAAUGCGAUAAGUAAUGUGAAUUGCAGAAUUCAGUGAAUCAUCGAAUCUUUGAACGCACAUUGCGCCCCUUGGUAUUCCGGGGGGCAUGCCUGUUCGAGCGUCAUUAUAACCCCUCAAGCUCAGCUUGGUGUUGGGGCCUGCCGACUGGCAGCCCUUAAAAUCAGUGGCGGCGCCAUCUGGCUCUAAGCGUAGUAAUUCUUCUCGCUAUGGAGUCCUGGUGGAUGCUUGCCAUCAACCCCCAAUUUUUCUAUGGUUGACCUCGGAUCAGGUAGGGAUACCCGCUGAACUUAAGCAUAUCAAUAAGCGGAGGA